AUCCCUUUUUGCUUUAUCUUGGCGGCUAUAUAGUUGUGUGAAGAUGGUGGAUACUAGGCUCAUGUGUUGUUAAUGGUUACAUCACUUUUCAUUUUGAAUUGAUGGAGCAGGGCAUCCUUACAAUUGUUAAGCUAACCAUACUUUGUUGGAAGCCGUUCUGUUAGGUUGUGCAUCAGUUGGGUAAAGGACGAGGCUCAAAUCCAAAUAUUGAUUGACCAAUGAAAGGUUGGAGUGGGCAGGGCCAUGACCAUGUAACGAAAAAAUGGACGUGAUUUUGUGCAUCCUAGCUUUCAAGUGAAAAAUAAGACAUUAGCAAGUUGUGAUUCACACAAGGCCUGUACUCACUCAGCGCACAAUUACCUAACUGGCGGUCCUAAUGAAGUAAGUUGUGACUCAAGGCCAACCGACGUUUGACUGCAAUUGCUGAUCGAAAGAAGCGUGCCAGAAAAACCCAUCCUGGACGAGUUCGCUGACGUUUCAAGGAGGAGCUGGGCUGCUAUCGAGGCGGGGAAGUCGGCAUCGACGUAGACCCGGACGUCCAGCCUCGUUUCUUCAAGCCUCGCACCGUACCGCUGGCCUUCAGGGAAGCUGUGGACACCGAGCUGGAGGACCAGAUCCGUGGCGGACUCUGGGAACAGAGUGACACCGAUACCUGCUCCUGAUCCGGUCACGGAGAGCGCCGCUGCAUCUGCACGGCAUGCUCCCGUUCCCGGACAACUGGCCUCCACUCCCGACCGGCUGCCGGCUCCUGAUCGAGCGCCUGCUCCUGGCCGGCCGCCUGUUCCGGCGCCGCCCGGGCUGACCGGAGCGGUGCCCGCGCCGGGUGUGACCACCGUCCCGCCGUCCGCACCCUCUCCCAGCGCGCCGCAGUACCGGCUGAGAGACCGGUCCACCCUGCAGCCCCCAGACCGAUACGUGGCGAGCUAUGAGUAGGCGUUUUGUUUCAGUUGUUAUUUGUUCUGUGAGGUGCAUAUUUAUUUGUUUGUCCAUGCUGUGCAAGUAUUCGGGGUGGAGGAUGUGAUGCUCUCGCGCGCU